GAGGGAGCCACGCGUCCGGGUUUUUAGGGGCUUUGUCCUCCGCUCUGCGUAUCUGUGAGUCAUCUUCGAAGCAGGCAGGUCACGGGUGCUCCGCCUGUUCUCCGCCUGUUCUCCGCCUGAAGCGGAGGGGAUGGCAAAGAAGCAUGGGCUCGCUACUGUCUUUAAGGACCACCUUUUCUUACCCCGAGAGGAGCCUCAAGUUUCUGCCACCCGCCUGCUUCAGAGCUUUCAAAAGUCUCAGGUCGAAACACCUGGGUUCUCCUCCCAGUGCUGCCCUCACCGCCGGGACGAGUCCAUCUCACGCAAUGGUCGCGCCUCUCCAAGGGUCGUAAAAGGCUCCACACCCAGCGUUCUGGCGGGUCAAUAAAACAAUCCGUGUGUGAAAGCACUUGGUCCACUCCCUGUGAGCUGCAAAACAAGCAGAGUGACAACAGUGGACAAUUUCUGGAUAUUUAUUUCCGGAUGCAGAAAGCUAUACAUUUGUUGUCUUAUUUAAGCCCCACAGCAGCUUUUGAAGUGAUGCUAUAUUUAUGACUCUCUUUCUUUCUUUUUUUUUUUUUUUUUUGUCUUUUUGCCAUUUCUUGGGCCCUACCCACGGCAUAUGGAGGUUCCCAGGCUAGGGGUCGAAUUGGAACUGUAGCUGCCAACCUACACCACAGCCACAGCAACGUGGGAUCCUUAACCCACUGAGCAAGGCCAGGGAUUGAACCCACAACCUCAUGGUUCCUAGUUGGAUUCGUUAACCACUGCGCCACAGCGGGAACUCCAUUUAUGAUUCUCCCUUCCUUAGUGAGGACAUGAGACUCAGAGAUGCUAGGUGACUUAUCCAAGGUCCCACAGUUAGGAAAUGACAAUAGUGGAGUUCCCAUCGUGGCGCAGCGGAAGUGAAUCCGACUAGUACCCGUGAGGACGCAGGUUCCAUCCCUGGCCUCGCUCAGCGGGUUAAGGAUCAGCGUUGCCGUGACCUGUGGUGUACCAGCACGUAUCUGGCAUUGCUGUGGCUGUGGUGUAGGCCAGCAGAUGCAGCUCCGAUUCAAUGCCUAGCCUGAACACCUCCGUAUACCUCGGGUGCGGCCCUAAAAAGAAAAAAAAAAAAAAGAGAGAGACUAGUUUAAUUCAAUAAUGGCUACCAUUUUCUCUCUCUUAUUCCGUAGUUCCAAUCUACGCCACAGGGGAGGGAACUGAGGCUUGGACUAUCGUUACUUAGCAAGGCCGCUCCUGUGACACGUCGUGGAUGCCAAGGGGACAGAGAUGGAUUUUCCUCCUGGUGGCUGUCGGAUGCCAACGGCCUUCAGGUUCGCCGUUGGCGUCUCGGUCCCUCCCAGUUCAGCGCCCGGGCUGCUAUUUAACGUGUGGUCCCCGUCUUC
rnacentral:lncRNA from 1 species